AGAGUUUGAUCCUGGCUCAGGAUGAACGCUAGCUACAGGCUUAACACAUGCAAGUCGAGGGGCAGCAUUAUCUUAGCUUGCUAAGAUAGAUGGCGACCGGCGCACGGGUGAGUAACACGUAUCCAACCUUCCGGUUACUCGGGGAUAGGCUUUCGAAAGAAAGAUUAAUACCCGAUGUUGCGUAUCUUUCUCCUGAAAGAUACGCCAAAGGAUUCCGGUAACCGAUGGGGAUGCGUUCCAUUAGGCAGUUGGCGGGGUAACGGCCCACCAAACCUUCGAUGGAUAGGGGUUCUGAGAGGAAGGUCCCCCACAUUGGAACUGAGACACGGUCCAAACUCCUACGGGAGGCAGCAGUGAGGAAUAUUGGUCAAUGGACGCAAGUCUGAACCAGCCAAGUAGCGUGAAGGAUGACUGCCCUCUGGGUUGUAAACUUCUUUUAUACGGGAAUAACAUGAGGUACGCGUACCUUAUUGCAUGUACCGUUAUGAAUAAGCAUCGGCUAACUCCGUGCCAGCAGCCGCGGUAAUACGGAGGAUGCGAGCGUUAUCCGGAUUUAUUGGGUUUAAAGGGAGCGUAGGUGGGAUAUUAAGUCAGCUGUGAAAGUUUGGGGCUCAACCUUAAAAUUGCAGUUGAUACUGGUUUCCUUGAGUACGGUACAGGUGGGCGGAAUUCGCGGUGUAGCGGUGAAAUGCUUAGAUAUCACGAAGAACUCCGAUCGCGAAGGCAGCUCACCGGGCCGGAACUGACACUGAUGCUCGAAAGUGCGGGUAUCAAACAGGAUUAGAUACCCUGGUAGUCCGCACAGUAAACGAUGAAUACUCGCUGUUUGCGAUACACUGUAAGCGGCCAAGCGAAAGCGUUAAGUAUUCCACCUGGGGAGUACGCCGGCAACGGUGAAACUCAAAGGAAUUGACGG
rnacentral:rRNA from 1 species